CAAAUCAGGCCCGCGGUGUAAUCUGCAACACAAAUCGGGGAAGCCUGCACAUCGUCAUACGUCGAGUUGCCAUUACUUUUCUUCCUUCUUGGACGCUACGCGGCGUCGUCGAUUAGUUUUGCAUAACCUUCUUCUCCAUUAUUGAAGCUGGACAACGCCCUUAGCGUGCGGAUAAGUCGAACAGCUCGCGCCAUUGGAUCGGUACAGCACACCACCUCCCUCCGGAAGACGUUUGGAAUCCGGCUCUCCAGCAAGCAGCGGAUACUCAUCAGCAGUGCGAAAAGAAAGCGAUGAAGGCAACGGUAAGAACGCGCGUGCUAUUUCCGACAGCGUAUCAGACAGCUUCUGCAAUUCCACACUUUCUGACAGUCGGUAAGCCCUACACAUAUAUCCCACUCCCUUGAGGCUUUCGGCCUAUGUUGGGAUGUGAGCUGAAGCAGCUGCCGGUAACGUCUGGUGUUUUUGGAGUGUGAAAAGGAUACUCCCGGCACCCUCUAAAGUACCUCCACUUCUAGGCUCUUGUCCCUGUCCGUCCGGAGAACCGAUGCCGUUGUCAUAAUAUGAUCACGCGCAUGGCCCUUGCGGACUACCAGCUAGUACAGCACCACCGCAAAAAGCGCAACAGUGUGUAUUCGAUCUGGGACGGACGGUGUAUUUCGCUUCAUCUCCGAUUUGGAGAUAUUGGUAUGUGUGUGUGAGAGAGAAAGAGCGAACGAGUGCACAAUACAGAACACUCUGCACAGUAGCCACCGAGACCAGCAGGCAACGGAACCUUCCCCGUGUAUCGAUCGAAGCAACCAGCCGGCUCGAUAAAUCUCUAUUUUCUCUCACUCCACCAUCUGGACAGCACAAAACAGAAUCCUGGAGGAGUGUGGUAGCAUGAGCCACAAAAACUCCGGAUGACCGGUACGAAAAAUCGGUCCUCACUCCAGUACCACGAACAGGUUGGACCUGCAACUAUCCACCGGGGUCCGUUGACGAACAGGUUUUCCUUGACCAUCGCCAUCCGUGGGCAUUCCGCGUGUUCAAGUACCCCUCUCGGCGUACGCGCACCAACACACCGUUCAUCUGUUGCGCGUUGGUUGCAUCAGAGUGGCGCCCUCGCUGCACCCAAGCCAAGAUCGUAAAAUGUAAGCCAGGAGCCUUGGCAUUUCUCCCCGAAAUGGGAUUGCUGUGUAGAAGAGGGCACAGGGAGAGAGGUAGAGGUUGGGAGAAAUGAUUUGAAU